AGAGUUUGAUCCUGGCUCAGAGCGAACGCUGGCGGCGUGCUUAACACAUGCAAGUCGAGUGCGCGGUAGCAAUACUGGCGCACGGCGCACGGGUGCGUAACACGUGGGCAACCUGCCCUCCAAAGGGGGAUAACCCCGCGAAAGCGGGGCUAAUACCGCAUGAUAUCCCGAUGGCUUCGGCCGACGGGAUCAAAGUCGUA
rnacentral:rRNA from 1 species